rnacentral:rRNA from 1 species
AUGGAGCGCUCCCUUUCCAUGUCGUACAACCCACAGGAGUUGUUGUGCUGGAACGUGAGGGGACUUAAUAGCCUCGCUAGGAAGAAAGCACUUAGAGAAUUUGUACAUUCAGUCCGUGUUGCUAUCAUUUGUAUCCUAGAAACUAAGCUGGAGAUGGUGGAUCAAUUUGUAAUAAUGCAAUGUUUAGGGCCAGCCUAUGAUGGCUUUUAUUACUUGCCGGCCUCGGACACGCGUGGUGGGAUCUUUGUGGCAUGGGACUCCACGAAGGUGCAACUGACAAACUUCUUCAAUGACACGAACUUCACUACUGGCUAUGUGUCUCCGUUGGAGGGUCUGUCGUGGUGGCUCACUAUGGUCUAUGGCCCACAAGAAGAUGCCCAAAAGAUCAUGUUUUUGGAGGAGCUCGCGGCGAGGCGACAACUUUGUCCUGGACCAUGGCUAGUAUGGGGUGACUUUAACAUGAUUUUGUAUGCGGCGGACAAGAAUAAUGCAUUACUGGAUCGGUGGAUGAUGAGCAGGUUUAAAAGGUUUGUGGAGGACAAUGCUCUCAAGGAGCUCUUCUUGCAUGGGCGUAGAUUUACGUGGAGUAGUGAACGGGAGGUGCCGACUCUAACUAAGAUUGACAGCAUUUGUUUCGAUUGA